rnacentral:rRNA from 1 species
UACAGAGGGUGCGAGCGUUGUCCGGAAUCACUGGGCGUAAAGGGCGCGUAGGCGGCCUGAUAAGUCGGGGGUGAAAUCCUGUGGCUUAACCACAGGGCUGCCUCCGAGACUGUCGGGCUCGAGCACAGUAGAGGCAGGUGGAAUUCCAGGUGUAGCGGUGAAAUGCGUAGAUAUCUGGAGGAACACCGGUGGCGAAGGCGGCAUCCUGGACCGAGAUCGACGCUGAGGCGCGAAAGCUAGGGGAGCAAACGGG